rnacentral:rRNA from 1 species
AGUUCGGAUUGUAGGCUGAAACUCGCCUACAUGAAGCUGGAGUUACUAGUAAUCGCAGAUCAGAAUGCUGCGGUGAAUGCGUUCCCGGGUCUUGUACACACCGCCCGUCACACCACGGAAGUUGGGGGCGCCCGAAGCCACUUAGCUAACCCUUUUGGGAAGCGAGUGUCGAAGGUGAAAUCAAUAACUGGGGUGAAGUCGUAACAAGGUAUC